GGCAAAAGCACGGGAUUGAGGAAGCAACAUAGGAACCGGAAGAGACAAUGAGGAAGCAAUACCCGAAUCUCUUUACUGAUCAAGAAGUACGAAACUCGAGGUUAGACAAAGGGAAGAAUAAAGUUGAAGACUAAGUUGGUGAAUUUGGCUAUAAUUGGUACCGAGUAUUGCAAAGCUACUUCAAGGAUCCUAAAGAAGUCGGAGAUCGUCCACACUAUCAACUACAACUGCUCGGUAUUUUAUAUCGAAACACGUUUGAGUUAUGGCAUGUAUAGGGAUUUAGUUAUUUUGUAUGUUUGUAAUGAUGAUUUUGCUAAUGAGUGAUGUGUAAGUAUUUGAUGAUGUAUGGUCAUUAAAAUGGUUAAGGAUGAAGGUGUUUGUUGUUAUGAAA